ensembl:lncRNA
UUGUGCAUUUGCAUAUAAAAUUAAAGGUAAAUUCUGUGAAUUAAGGUAUUAUUUUUCUAAAGCUAUCCUCUGUGCUAGUCUUUGGGGACUUUGGUCUAUGGCUCAAUCGCUGUACUACCUUCUGAUGUUUUAUCGUUGUCCAGAGAAUAACAGAUCUGUGUGAAGCACACAGCAGAAUCUGAUUCUCACAAUGUUUUCUUUUAUAUAAUUGCAGAUAACAGCUUGGAGCGAAAACGGUAUGUACCAUGAAAUAACUCACUUCCUGAGGGAAAAACUUGCUAGCAUCAGUGUAUAGGAACCGGAUUCUGGGUUCCUGCUGGGAAAGGGGAUUGGGGUUUUCGCGAAAGUGAUUUUGCCAGUGUAGAACUCUGGCCCGAGAAACUGUAGGGAGGUUUGUCAACCCAGAAGAAAGAUUAGGGGAUCAUGUAUGAAGCAGCGUGGGGUGGGAGAAUAGCCCAUCCUUCAGCUUCAGCUAAAGUAGGAGGAGUGGGUGAGCCACUCUGUCUAAUGACUUAUCCUGGUGUUUUUCUUUCUAAAGACUUGAUGCUGGAGAGUAUAAGUGAUAGAAGUUACGAGGAGACUCAUCCAGGUUUGGCUAUCCGUCCCAAGCGCUGGACCACAAAAAUAUGGAGAUGGACCAAAAUUUGGCGUGCAGGAAAUAAAGGAAUGUGCAUGUGA